GACGAACGCUGGCGGCGUGCUUAACACAUGCAAGUCGAACGGACAGUCCCUGCUUUUGUGGGGUGCUCGAGUGGCGAACGGGUGAGUAACACGUGAGUAACCUGCCCUUGACUUUGGGAUAACUUCAGGAAACUGGGGCUAAUACCGGAUAGGAUCUCCUGCUGCAUGGUGGUGGUUGGAAAGUUUCGGCGGUUGGGGAUGGACCCGCGGCUUAUCAGCUUGUUGGUGGGGUAGUGGCUUACCAAGGCUUUGACGGGUAGCCAGCCUGAGAGGGUGACCGGCCACAUUGGGACUGAGAUGCGGCCCAGACUGCUACGGGAGGCAGCAGUGGGGGACAGUGCACAAUGGGCGGAAGCAGGAUGCAGCAACGCCGCGUGCGGGAGGACGGCCUUCGGGUUGGAAACCGCUUUCGCCGGUGACGAAGCGUGAGUGACGGUAAUGGGUAAAGAAGCACCGGCUAACUACGUG
rnacentral:rRNA from 1 species